rnacentral:rRNA from 1 species
UACGUAGGGACCAAGCGUUGUCCGGAAUCAUUGGGCGUAAAGCGCGCGUAGGUGGCCAUUUAAGUCCGCUGUGAAAGUCAGAGGCUCAACCUUUGAAAGCCCGGUGGAUACUGGAUGGCUAGAGUACGGAAGAGGCGAGUGGAAUUCCUGGUGUAGCGGUGGAAUGCGCAGAUAUCAGGAGGAACACCAAUAGCGAAGGCAGCUCGCUGGGACGUUACUGACACUAAGGCGCGAAAGCGUGGGGAGCGAACGAGGA